GAUGAACGCUGGCGGCGUGCUUAACACAUGCAAGUCGAACGAAGCACUUUAUUUGAUUUCCUUCGGGACUGAUUAUUUUGUGACUGAGUGGCGGACGGGUGAGUAACGCGUGGGUAACCUGCCUUGUACAGGGGGAUAACAGUUGGAAACGGCUGCUAAUACCGCAUAAGCGCACAGCAUCGCAUGAUGCAGUGUGAAAAACUCCGGUGGUAUAAGAUGGACCCGCGUUGGAUUAGCUAGUUGGUGAGGUAACGGCCCACCAAGGCGACGAUCCAUAGCCGACCUGAGAGGGUGACCGGCCACAUUGGGACUGAGACACGGCCCAAACUCCUACGGGAGGCAGCAGUGGGGAAUAUUGCACAAUGGGCGAAAGCCUGAUGCAGCGACGCCGCGUGAGCGAAGAAGUAUUUCGGUAUGUAAAGCUCUAUCAGCAGGGAAGAUAAUGACGG
rnacentral:rRNA from 1 species